rnacentral:rRNA from 1 species
GACGAACGCUGGCGGCGUGCUUAACACAUGCAAGUCGAACGGUGAAGCGCCUUCCUUUUUGGUGGGUGUGGAUGAGUGGCGAACGGGUGAGUAACACGUGAGUAACCUGCCCCCUUCUUCUGGAUAACCGCAUGAAAGUGUGGCUAAUACGGGAUAUUCUGGGUCUGUCGCAUGAUGGGUCUGGGAAAGAUAUUGUUUCGGUGGGGGAUGGGCUCGCGGCCUAUCAGCUUGUUGGUGGGGUGAUGGCCUACCAAGGCGGUGACGGGUAGCCGGCCUGAGAGGGGGGAAGGUCAAAGUGGGAAGGAGAAAAGAACCAGACUACGAAGGGAGGGAGGAGGGGGGAAGAUUGGAAAAUGGGGGGAAGCAGGAUGCAGCGACGCCGGGGGAGGGAUGGAGGCCUUGGGGGUGGGAACCUCUUUGGGCAGUGAAGCAGGCCUGCCUCGGUUGGGGGGGGGUUGAAGGUAGGUGGAAAAGAAACGGCGGAUAAAUAAGG